UACGUAGGGGGCAAGCGUUGUCCGGAUUUAUUGGGCGUAAAGAGCGUGUAGGCGGCCACACAGGUCUGCUGUGAAAACUCGAGGCUCAACCUCGAGCUGUCGGUGGAAACCGUGUGGCUAGAGUCCGGAAGAGGAGAGUGGAAUUCCCGGUGUAGCGGUGAAAUGCGCAGAUAUCGGGAAGAACACCCGUGGCGAAGGCGGCUCACUGGUCCGGUACUGACGCUGAGGUGCGAAAGCGUGGGGAGCAAGCAGG
rnacentral:rRNA from 1 species